CCUCUUUAUCGGGAUACUCAUCUUGUCCUCUUUUUGCCUCAAAUUAUGUAAAUGCAGCAGAACGUGUACUGUAAUUAUGCACAUGGUCUAUGUACUUUAAACAUUUGUAAUGAAAUCCAGGAAUUAACUGAUGUUUAUGUGUUAAUAAAGAGAUAAAUAUAGGCUCAUAUCGUGAUAUGCUUGUGAAUUGGAAACAUGUGAAAUCUUAUAUUAGAGUUAGUAGUUCCAAGAUCAAAUGGAUAUUCUUCCUUUAUUU
rnacentral:lncRNA from 1 species